GUGCUGGUCCCUUAUAAACCCAUCUGGGACAAUCCAGAUGCCGUGGAGGUCACGGGCCUGCCUGAUGACAUCCCCUUCCAGAACUCCAACGCCUACGACAUCCACCGGCUGGAGAAGAUCCUGAAGGCCCGAGAGCACAUUUGCGUGGUGAUCAUUAACCAGCUCCAACCCUUUGCAGAAAUCUGCAAUGAUGCCAAGGUGCCAGCCAAAGACAGCAGCAUUCCCAAGCGCAAGAGAAAGCGGGUCUCUGAAGGAAAUUCCAUCUCCUCUUCCUCCUUGUCUUCCUCUUCCUCAUCCUCUAACCUGGAUUCAGUGGCAUCAGCCAAUCAGAUCUCACUCGUGGUAAAGUUCACAGAUUUGGACUCCAGCCCUCGUCUCUGUGACCCUCCCGGCUUGGUCGGGCAGGGCCGUCUACUCUG